UGAACGCUGGCGGUAGGCCUAACACAUGCAAGUCGAACGGCAGCACAGUAAGAGCUUGCUCUUAUGGGUGGCGAGUGGCGGACGGGUGAGGAAUACAUCGGAAUCUACUCUGUCGUGGGGGAUAACGUAGGGAAACUUACGCUAAUACCGCAUACGACCUACGGGUGAAAGCAGGGGAUCUUCGGACCUUGCGCGAUUGAAUGAGCCGAUGUCGGAUUAGCUAGUUGGCGGGGUAAAGGCCCACCAAGGCGACGAUCCGUAGCUGGUCUGAGAGGAUGAUCAGCCACACUGGAACUGAGACACGGUCCAGACUCCUACGGGAGGCAGCAGUGGGGAAUAUUGGACAAUGGGCGAAAGCCUGAUCCAGCAAUGCCGCGUGAGUGAUGAAGGCCCUAGGGUUGUAAAGCUCUUUUACCCGGGAUGAUAAUGACAGUACCGGGAGAAUAAGCUCCGGCUAACUCCGUGCCAGCAG
rnacentral:rRNA from 1 species